ACCUCCGGGUCCCUGGGCAGCAGGAGAUUGAAGAGGUUCUCAAACAGGAAGAAGGCGUAGAGCCCGGCCAGCAUAGCCAGGAGGCGCCAGCCCCUGCUCACUCUCUCCAUCCCUCAUCCUGGGCAGCCACUCCUUCCUUCCUACACGGGCUCCACCUCUGUGCUGCCAGCACAAUGUCGGCGUGGGCACUCACUCUCUGACUGGCUGAGCUGGUCCUGGACGGGGGGCCUGGACUGGGAGGUGCAGGCUCCACUCAGCUGCUGUUGGAGCAGGGCAGGGCUCAGUUGGGCCCAGGCCUCCGGGGUCACCCCAGCCUGUUCCGACAGUCCAUAUGCAGCCAUCACGUCCCUGGCACUCAGGCAUACCUGGGGGGUGGCAGGACAGGCUCAGGGGCCCAAGCAGACCCCGGUGAGGCCCCAUCUUACCCCAGGGCGCAGCUCACCGUGUCCCACACACUGGAGCUGUUGCUGGAGCUGAUGAGGGGCACAGGGUCCCGGCUGCUGGCUCCCCUGUGCCGAUGACUGUGGUCACUGUGGGCCUCCCUGCCCACCCCCAGGCGCUGCAUCAAGGCUGACAGCUCUGGCAGGGAGAAGAGUUGGCACCGCGAGUCUGUGUGGGCUCCGGCCCUGCCCCCCAGGGACGUGGAGGCUGGGGACUCGGGGGUGCCCCCCUCCACAGCCCAGCCCAGGCCUCACCGGCCAGCGUCAUAGGGACCUCGCUGCUGUGCUGCUGGAACACAAAGUCCACGAAGUACUGAGGGCUCGGCAAGGCGUGGAAGCAAGACCCGCUCCUGACAUGGUCCAGCAGGGCAGCCAGGACGCCGCCAGCACUGCCCGGAGCCCCCGCCCCCACCGCCUCCUCCAGCAGCUGAGGGAUAUCUACGCAGGCCUGGGGAAGAGGGGGCCUCCGCCUCAGCCUUUGGUGUGACCUUCUGCCAUCCACCCCGCUGCCCCUGGAUGCAUCUCCCACCCCAACUACAGGAUCUGCCCCCACCAGCCCCGCCCCUCCCUGGAGCCACAGCCCUCCCUGCCGGGCCCAGCUGCUUCAGGCUCCCACUCAGGCCUCUGGGUUCCUCCCUCAUGAGGUCCCUCCCGGGGCUCCUACAGGCUCCCAACUGCCCAGUAGUGAGCCCCACGUUGUGAAUCCCCAGCCGCAGGCCGACUCCUGGGCGUCUCCCCAGGCCCCCAGGCUCCCCGAAGGCUUUGCAGCCAGGCCGGGUCCCAUGGGCCGUGGGACCCUCCUCACCCACUCCCCUGGUCUGCCUGGACUCUCCCUCACCAUCUUGGGGGUCUGGCCGGCAGCCCGGGCCUGCAUCCUCUGCAGCAGCCAGCUCAGGCCCGGGGUCAGGGCCUUGGGGCUCUCGAGCAGGGCCAGGAGGUGGUCUGCAUGAGAGGCCCAGAGGCCAGCCCGAGCGUCCUCACAGGUGCCCUCGGGGUUGCUGAGGUACAGGACGGCGGCGGCACUGAGGCGGGCGACGUACCUGGCCUCCAGGACCGGGCCCGGGGGCAGCCCUGACCCCUCAGGCUCGCCCAGGCCCAGGGCGUCCUCCACAGACAGGCACUGUGGGCAGAGACAAGUGAGCAGGGGCGCUGGGCCCACCAGGGAGGGGAGAGGCAGGCCUGGCCAGGGGCUUCCCCGAGGGCCUGUUUCCCUUUCAAGUCCAACAACGUCCACCAUCCUCUCUCAACCCCUGGCGCCCUUCCGUCUCCCCAGGCCCCUGUCCUGCUUCCCCAACUACAGGGGUGCACGCAGAGGGGUCCCCAACAGUGGUCCCCCAUCCCCAGGGGACUCCCCUGGAGCCACUGCCAAUUUGAUGGCAGAGGGCCGGCAGGGGGAGUUGGCCCUGGGGUCCUGGGGAGAAGAGGGACUGUGUCCCUGGAAAGGCCUGUCUGCCCUCAUGAGCAGGAGGGUGGGCUCUGGCCUGUGGGGAGGGUCAGGGUGCCCAGGUACUGCCACUAGCCUCCUCCGCCUCCUGGAGUUUGCCCAGGGCCCUUUGCUGCCGGCUGGCAGGGCGGAGCUGGCGGGAAGAGGCCAGGGCUGGGGGACCCGUCGGGUGGGGCUGUUACCUUUCCACACGGCCCGUUGGCGCAGUGCACACGGUCCGCCAGCGUAUUUAACAGGCCGCCCAGAGCCUCUUGAUCCAGAGCGCCCUGGCCAGAGGUGAGCAGGCUCAGCAGACCAGCAGGCGGGGACGCCGUCGCCGUCACCACCAGCACAGCCAGAAGCAGCCCCAGCUCCAGCGAGACCAGGGACGCCAUACUCAGCUCCCAGCGUGCUCAGUGGGUGUUGCUGUGGCCAAGGCCCAGUGCUUCUGGGCUGGCUGAGGGCGGCUUUGCUGGGGUUGUCCAGGGCCAGACUGGGGCUGGGCUAGGACCCGCCCGGGCUGCAUGAGGACCUCUCCCAGGUAUUCCUGCAGAGCUCUGUGAUUGGCUGCUGGAGAUGCCUGGGUUAACCAUUCCAGUGGCAGAUCCUCCCCAACAGCCUGGAGCCACUGCCUGUGGGGGUCGAGGGCUGGGCCCCUUCCCCUGGACAGGCAGCCUCGGUGGUCUUUUUUUUUUCGAGUUGGAGUUUUGCUCUUGCUGCCCAGGCUGGAGUGCAAUGGCGUGAUCUUGGCUCACGGCAACCUCCGCCUCCCGGGUUCAAGUGCUUCUCCUGCCUCAGCCUCCCGAGUAGCUGGGAUUACAGGCAGCGCCACCACGCCCGGUUACUUUUGUAUUUUUAGUAGAGACAGUGUUUCUCCAUGUUGGUCAGGCUGGUCUUGAACUCCCAACCUCAGGUGAUUCGCCCGCCUUGGCCUCCCAAAGUGCUGGGAUUACCGGCGUGGCUCACCACGCCAGGCCAGCCUGGGUGGGCUUCUGUCCUCUGCCUGCUGCCCCCCAAGCUGUGGGGCAGGGCUGGGGUGUCCCCUUCUGGCUGUCCAUCUGGGGGCUGCCUCCAAGCUGGGGGACACAGGGCAGAGGUGCACAGAUGCCCCCAGAGCCUGAGAGCUCCCAGGUCCCUGCCUCUGCCCCUCCCAACAGAGGCUGCCCAGACACCCUCGGUGGCCCCUGUUGGGGGUGGGGACAUGGACCUCCCUCCUCCUGGGUCCUGGGCUGUGGUCCCUGUUGGGGACUGCGAUGGAGUCAAAGAAACUGAAAAGGUGCCUGCUGCAUCAUGCUCCCUUAGGCCGGAGACAGCCCCAGGAAGCUCCAACACAGACAAACAGGAAGACGGAGCUGGGCCCUGGCAGCCACCUGGCCGAGCUUGGGUCAGGAUAAGAUUGGGGCAAGACCCCAGCUCUAGCCCCGGGGGCAGGGAGGCUGUGGCUCCCAGCCCUGCCCUCUCUGUGGGCUCCCUCUCUGGCCUUUGAGCCUAGAGGCCUUAUCUCUACCGUGGUGGUGAUGGCAGGAAGUCUGGGGGAAGGGGAAGGCAGAUCUCAGGGCAGCUUUGCCUUCUGAAGGGGGAGUCCAGAUGCCACCUCCCGCCCGGUCCAGCCAGCCUGACCCUGAGCAUUGUGGGUGGGGCUGGGGUGGGGAGCUGGGUGCCUGAGGCCCAAGGACUCUGUCCCGCCAUACACAGGGUGGGACGGGGCAGGGCGGGCAUUGAGCCCAGUGUCCUGGGGUCAGGGUGCUUCCCCUGCCGGCCUCACCCCACCAAGCGGAUCUCAUGGUGCUCCUCUGGCUGGGCCCACCCGCAGUGGUAUCCUUCUGGGGGCCCUUAGGGGAGCCUGCCGGGGGUGCAGAUCCUGCCGGGGGUGCAGAGCCUGCUGGGGGUGCAGAUGAUUUCUGGGUCCCAGGACCAUGAGGGGGCUGCUCUACACACAGCCUGAAGAUGCUGCGGACCCAAACUGGCCCUUUCCCUCCCACACCACCCCAGGACCAAUGGGCUGGCUGGAGGCCACCCAUGCUAAAAUAGGCUCAAGGGCCUACUUUAGCUUCUGGGCAAAGGUCUUGGCCUGGGCCUGACUCUGUGGCCUUCCUGAGCUGCCUCCCCAGUAGGCCUCAGUGCUGGGCUACAGGCCUCCUCCAUUCCCUCCAUUCAUGUGACCCCACCCCUCCCAGCAGAAACUCUCUUCCGUAGCCCAGGAGCAGCUGUUGAGGGUUUCACCUGCCCAUGCCCCAGCCUAAGGCCGGCUUCCCCAGAGCAGACGGGUUGCACUCUCCUGCCCCUCAGGCCCACUCUGUCAUCCAACAAGCUCACUGCAACUGGCCCAUCUUAAAAACAACACCGGCUGGUCACGCUGGCUCACACCUGUAAUCCCAGCGCUGUGGGAGGCCGGGGCGGGGGGAUCACUUAAAGUCAGGAGUUUAAGACCAGCCUGGGCAACAUGGUGAAACCCGAGCUCCACUAAAAACACAAAAACAAAUUAAGGCACCCUGAGUGGUGGUGGGUGCCUGUAGUCCCAGCGACUCGGGAGGCUGAGGCAGAAUUGCUUGAGCCCAGGAGGUGGAGGCUGCAGUGAGCCACGAUCGCAUCACGCACUCCAGCCCGGGCAACCUGGCAAGACCCUGACUCUAAAAAGAAAAAAACAACAACAAAAAAAAGCCCACGUUCAAUGGCAGCACUAUUCAAAAGAUGGAAGCAACUCAAGUAUCCAAACGCGCAUGAGUGAACACAUCGUGGUUCAUCCACAGUGGAACACGAUUCAGCCAGAAAAAGGAAGGAAACCGGCCUGCACCGUGACUUGGAUGCACCUGGAGGAGACUGUGAUGAACGAAAGCAGCCAGACGCAAAAGGGCAAGGACGGUGUGAUCUGACUGAUGUGAGGACCCCAGCCAGUCAAAUUCAUGGAGACAGAAAGUAAAAGGGUUUUGGGAGGCCGAGGCGGGCAGAUCACCUAAGGUCAGGACUUCGAGACCAGCCUAGCCAACAUGGUGAAACCCCAUCUCUACUAAAAAAUACAAAAAUUAGCCAGGCAUGGUGGCGGGGUCCCAGCUGCUCAGAAGUCUGAGGCGGGAGAAUUGCUUGAACCCCGGAGGCAGAGGUUACAGUGAGCUGAGAUCACGCCAUUGCACUCUAGCCUAGGCGACAGAGCUAGACUCUGUCUCAAAAAUAGUAAUAACAAAAAAUUUUAAAAUAAAUAAAAAAAAUACAGGCCGGGCA